rnacentral:rRNA from 1 species
UGACCUACGGGAGGCAGCAGUGGGGAAUAUUGGACAAUGGGGGCAACCCUGAUCCAGCAAUGCCGCGUGUGUGAAGAAGGCCUGAGGGUUGUAAAGCACUUUCAGUGGGGAGGAGGUUUGCUAGGUUAAGAGCUAGGCGAAUGGACGUUACCCACAGAAGAAGCACCGGCUAACUCCGUGCCAGCAGCCGCGGUAAUACGGAGGGUGCAAGCGUUAAUCGGAAUUACUGGGCGUAAAGCGUGCGUAGGUGGUUGAUUAAGUUAUCUGUGAAAUCCCUGGGCUUAACCUGGGCAGGUCAGAUGAUACUGGUUGACUCGAGUAUGGGAGAGGGUAGUGGAAUUUCCGGUGUAGCGGUGAAAUGCGUAGAGAUCGGAAGGAACACCAGUGGCGAAGGCGGCUACCUGGCCUAAUACUGACACUGAGGCACGAAAGCGUGGGGAGCAAACAGGAUUAGAUACCCCGGUAGUCU